rnacentral:rRNA from 1 species
AUUGAACGCUGGCGGCAGGCUUAACACAUGCAAGUCGAGCGAGCGGCGGACGGGUGAGUAAUGUCUGGGAAACUGCCUGAUGGAGGGGUAUAACUACUGGAAACGGUAUCUAAUACCGCAUACCAUCAGAUGUGCCCAGAUGGGAUUAGCUAGUAGGUGGGGUAAUGGCGCACCUAGGCGACGAUCCCUAGCUGGUCUGAGAGGAUGACCAGAAACACUGGAACUGCGACAGGGUCCAGACUCGUACGGGAGGCAGGAGUGGGGAAUAUUGCACAAUGGGGGCAAGCCUGAUGCAGCCAUGCGGCGUGAGUGAAGAAGGCCUUCGGGUUGUAAAGCACUUUCAGCGAGGAGGCGUUACUCACAGAGGAAGCAACGGCUAACUCAGUGCCAGCAGCCGCGGUAAUAC